ACUCAAAGGAAUAGACGGGGGCCCGCACAAGCAGUGGAGUAUGUGGUUUAAUUCGAUGCUACGCGAAAAACCUUACCAGGCCUUGACAUCUGGCAAACGUAAUUGAAAGAUUUCGGUGCCCUUCGGGGAAUGCCAAGACAGGUGGUGCAUGGUUGUCGUCAGCUCGUGUCGUGAGAUGUUGGGUUAAGUCCUGCAACGAGCGCAACCCUUGCCGUUAAUUGCUACGCAAGAGAACUUUAGCGGAACUGCCGUUGACAAAACGGAGGAAGGUAGGGAUGACGUCAAAUCUUCAUGCCCCUUAUGGCCUGGGCUACACACGUACUACAAUGGCGCGUACAAUGAGUUGCUACUUAGCGAUAAGAAGCUAACCUCUUAAAAGGCGUCUUAGUUCGGAUUGCAGGCUGAAACUCGCCUGAAUGAAGUCGGAAUUGCUAGUAAUCGCGGAUCAGCAUGCCGCGGUGAAUACGUUCUCGGGCCUUGUACACACCGCCCGU
rnacentral:rRNA from 1 species